ensembl:lncRNA
GCGUUAUAUCUUGCAGCUUUAGUAAUUGGUUUAUUGUUGUUGACAGACAUACUGUAUGUACAGUGAGACAAAACGAUGACCGCAUCUGCAUCGAAGGCGAAGCUCUCAGAGCUGAUAGUUUGUAUCGGCGUCCUUUUUAAGAAUGUCUCUGAACAGAUGAAAUACAGUACAGAAUACAUCCUGUAUCCAACUAAUGCAGAGUAUAUUCAAGUUGCCAACACUGGUUGUGAAGUACCCUUUCCAGAGAAAUAUAAAAGGAAAUGACUGUACCACACGGCACGAACAUUCUCCAGGAGACGUGGAGAAAGCAUGGAAGGAAUGUCUGUGGAGGAUGUAAAACACCCAUUCUUAAGGACACCUGCUGGAUUUUUAUGUAGGGGGACCCUGCUACACCCUUUCCUACCAUACAGCUGAUGGAUACUGACUGUAAAAUGGCAAUCAUAGGAAGAGGGCUCAGUGUGGUGACAGAAGAUGGAAUAGACGUGUGCCAGUGCACCAGCCUUGAUGAAGCCUUCAUAACAGCCUUCUGGGUGUAUUCUGCAUUCAACAUUGCAUAGCCAACACACCUGAGAAAGACACUGACUUUCCUUCAGAGACACAUUCUCAACAUUAGAAGAUGGAGCACUGCCAGUAUGGUUGACUGGAAGUCUGUCAGUCCAGAUGUGAGGAAGACAUACAGAGUGGACUUGGAGCUCAGCAGGUGUGAUGGCUGUAGAUACUGUGGCCAUGGAAAGAAGGGGGUCUUCACAGCUUUCUAUUCAGACAAAGAGUUUGGUCAUCAAGGCCAAUCAAGGCCUAAACUUGCAGCGGUGAUGACGUCAGUAACCCGCGCCAUGAAGUUUUGAAGGUACUUUCAAAAGUAAUGUAAAAUAAUUUUCUUAAUAUCCUUAACGCCGUUUUUACCUUGGAAGAAUUACAUUUGGUUUUAUAGGAUUAUGUUGAAUUUAUGUUUUCCUUUUUUAACAGCCAGCUUUCACAUUACCUUUUGGCACGCCCCCUACCUUUCGUUUCACCAAUGAGAAACCUUUUGGCACGCCCAUUGCUCCAGGCUGCAGUUAC